CAUCAUAAUUUUUAUGGAGAGUUUGAUCCUGGCUCAGGAUGAACGCUGGCGGCGUGCCUAAUACAUGCAAGUCGAGCGAACGGCGGACGAGAAGCUUGCUUCUCUGAUGUUAGCGGCGGACGGGUGAGUAACACGUGGAUAACCUACCUAUAAGACUGGGAUAACUUCGGGAAACCGGAGCUAAUACCGGAUAAUAUUUUGAACCGCAUGGUUCAAAAGUGAAAGACGGUCUUGCUGUCACUUAUAGAUGGAUCCGCGCUGCAUUAGCUAGUUGGUAAGGUAACGGCUUACCAAGGCAACGAUGCAUAGCCGACCUGAGAGGGUGAUCGGCCACACUGGAACUGAGACACGGUCCAGACUCCUACGGGAGGCAGCAGUAGGGAAUCUUCCGCAAUGGGCGAAAGCCUGACGGAGCAACGCCGCGUGAGUGAUGAAGGUCUUCGGAUCGUAAAACUCUGUUAUUAGGGAAGAACAUAUGUGUAAGUAACUGUGCACAUCUUGACGGUACCUAAUCAGAAAGCCACGGCUAACUACGUGCCAGCAGCCGCGGUAAUACGUAGGUGGCAAGCGUUAUCCGGAAUUAUUGGGCGUAAAGCGCGCGUAGGCGGUUUUUUAAGUCUGAUGUGAAAGCCCACGGCUCAACCGUGGAGGGUCAUUGGAAACUGGAAAACUUGAGUGCAGAAGAGGAAAGUGGAAUUCCAUGUGUAGCGGUGAAAUGCGCAGAGAUAUGGAGGAACACCAGUGGCGAAGGCGACUUUCUGGUCUGUAACUGACGCUGAUGUGCGAAAGCGUGGGGAUCAAACAGGAUUAGAUACCCUGGUAGUCCACGCCGUAAACGAUGAGUGCUAAGUGUUAGGGGGUUUCCGCCCCUUAGUGCUGCAGCUAACGCAUUAAGCACUCCGCCUGGGGAGUACGACCGCAAGGUUGAAACUCAAAGGAAUUGACGGGGACCCGCACAAGCGGUGGAGCAUGUGGUUUAAUUCGAAGCAACGCGAAGAACCUUACCAAAUCUUGACAUCCUUUGACAACUCUAGAGAUAGAGCUUUCCCCUUCGGGGGACAAAGUGACAGGUGGUGCAUGGUUGUCGUCAGCUCGUGUCGUGAGAUGUUGGGUUAAGUCCCGCAACGAGCGCAACCCUUAAGCUUAGUUGCCAUCAUUAAGUUGGGCACUCUAAGUUGACUGCCGGUGACAAACCGGAGGAAGGUGGGGAUGACGUCAAAUCAUCAUGCCCCUUAUGAUUUGGGCUACACACGUGCUACAAUGGACAAUACAAAGGGCAGCGAAACCGCGAGGUCAAGCAAAUCCCAUAAAGUUGUUCUCAGUUCGGAUUGUAGUCUGCAACUCGACUACAUGAAGCUGGAAUCGCUAGUAAUCGUAGAUCAGCAUGCUACGGUGAAUACGUUCCCGGGUCUUGUACACACCGCCCGUCACACCACGAGAGUUUGUAACACCCGAAGCCGGUGGAGUAACCUUUUAGGAGCUAGCCGUCGAAGGUGGGACAAAUGAUUGGGGUGAAGUCGUAACAAGGUAGCCGUAUCGGAAGGUGCGGCUGGAUCACCUCCUUUCUA
rnacentral:rRNA from 1 species